GUUCGCUAGAGCAGACUCUCGGGGAGAUGACAGAUGCCAGCAAGAAAUCAGAAACGGAGUGGGGCGCCUGAAGGGGGGAGGACGGGUUUAAAUAGACCCUGGGAUCCGGCGCCAUAAUGAUCUCGAAUCCCCCCAGGCCAGUCCGCAUCCGACGCGUGUCCCACCCCCCGUGGCAGACGGCUGAAGACGGCUGGCGGUUGGCAGGGUCAUAAUUGUGCCG
rnacentral:lncRNA from 1 species